rnacentral:lncRNA from 1 species
GUAUUUCAAAGGAGAUCAUAAAAUAUUGUUGAAGUAACAAUUUCUCAGAAACGAAUCUUAAUAAAUAUCUGUAUUUUAGUAAAAAGUGGUAGUUAUCUGUAACAAAUGGCAGAGGAUGGUAAAAAUCAAGUCUUUGUGAAAUAUUAUAAUACACACAUAGAAAAACUCUCAUUCCUUUAUUUCAGUGGGAUUUGUCUGCAUGCAGCCAUGUGUCCAGAACAGCCAGUGGGAGAUGUUUCAUUUCCUCUAUCGCUAGAGGGCAGAACUUUUGCUAAAUAAACCAGCGGGAAAACAGAAAGGAAAACAAGGACAUUCAACAGUCUUUACAUCGGCUGGAAGACACAAUGGAAGAAUCUUUAUUUGGAGACUGCUUCCUUUGGAGUGUUUGGUCUGCUCUGAUGCUCAGAAAGAGCCUAGUUCUGUGAUGGGAUGAAGGGGUCCAUGGUCCUACACCCUGGAAAAAGAGGAAGGAAGGAAGGAGAAAAGGUAGGGAGAUAAGCCCAGAUGAGGGCAAAAAACAGCAGGAACAAGUUCAGGGAAAAAACUAAUUUAGUAAAUAUGAUAGUGGAAUGAGAGGUAAUGAUAAAAGACAGUAUAAUUGGAAUUGAGGAUAAUAAAUCAAAUCAAAGGAGAAUGUCUGAAACUGAAGUCAGUAUUCUAAUGCUGUAGGUGAGAUGGC